rnacentral:rRNA from 1 species
GCCAGACUCCUACGGGAGGCAGCAGUGAGGAAUAUUGGUCAAUGGGCGAGAGCCUGAACCAGCCAAGUCGCGUGAGGGAUGACUGCCCUAUGGGUUGUAAACCUCUUUUGUAUGGGGGGAAUAAGCUUUACGAGUAGAGUGAUGACAGUACCAUACGAAUAAGCAUCGGCUAACUCCGUGCCAGCAGCCGCGGUAAUACGUAGGGAGCAAGCGUUAUCCGGAUUUACUGGGUGUAAAGGGAGCGUAGACGGCAUGGCAAGUCAGAUGUGAAAGCCCGGGGCUCAACCCCGGGACUGCAUUUGAAACUGUCAGGCUGGAGUGCAGGAGAGGUAAGUGGAAUUCCUAGUGUAGCGGUGAAAUGCGUAGAUAUUAGGAGGAACACCAGUGGCGAAGGCGGCUUACUGGACUGUAACUGACGUUGAGGCUCGAAAGCGUGGGGAGCAAACAGGAUUAGAUACCCCCGUA